AGAGUUUGAUCAUGGCUCAGGACGAACGCUGGCGGCGUGGAUUAGGCAUGCAAGUCGAACGGUAUAAACCUUUCGGGGUUUAGAGAGUGGCGAACGGGUGAGUAACACGUAGGUAAUCUACCCUCAAAACGGGGACAACCCAGGGAAACUUGGGCUAAUACCGGAUGCGUGCAAACAAUGUUUUGGCUGCUGUAAUUGUUCACGGAAGUGAAUAGUUAUGAGAGUUUAGAGCAUAAUUUGCAUAAAAGAUGGCGUAAGCUGUCGUUUGAGGAUGAGCCUGCGUCCUAUUAGUUAGUUGGUGAGGUAAUAGCUUACCAAGGCGAUGAUAGGUAGGCGGCCUUAACGGGUGGUCGCCCACACUGGGAUUGAGAUACGGCCCAGACUCCUACGGGAGGCAGCAGUCGAGAAUAGUCUACAAUGGACGAAAGUCUGAUAGUGCGACGCCGCGUGAACGAAGAAUCCUUUCGGGGUGUAAAGUUCUUUUCUAUGUGAGCAGUUCCUUUUAUAUGAAGAGUAUAGGAGGCGGGAUUUAAGCAUAGGAAUAAGCAACGGCUAACUCCGUGCCAGCAGCCGCGGUAACACGGGGGUUGCAAGCGUUGUCCGGAAUUACUAGGCGUAAAGUGCAGGUAGGCGGAUAGAUAAGUUUAAGGUUAAAGGCUACGGCUUAACCGUAGUAAGGCGUUAGAUACUGUUUAUCUGGAAUGCGGUUGAGGGAGACAGAAUUCCUGGUGUAGCGGUGGAAUGCGCAGAGAUCAGGAGGAAUACCGAAGGCGAAGGCAGUCUUCUAAGCCGAAAUUGACGCUAAACUGCGAAGGUGUGGGGAUCAAACAGGAUUAGAUACCCUGGUAGUCCACACAGUAAACGAUAAUCACUAGGUGUUGGGUUCGUAUAGGACUCGGUGCCGGAGCUAACGCGAUAAGUGAUUCGCCUGGGGAGUACGAUCGCAAGGUUGAAACUCAAAUGAAUUGACGG
rnacentral:rRNA from 2 species